ACUUAUGAAUUACACAUAUAGACACAUUCUGCUGGUCAGGCACUUUAUGGAUGUGUAUUGUCCUUCAUGCCCUCAAAUUAGACCAACUAUCUCAUCUAAUUAAUUAAAGAGAAAAGACUAUUUCUUAUUAUUGAAAAGUCACGAGUCACAUAUUCUCUCUCCAUUCCUGAUUUCAAAACUCAGAUCUACUUUCCCUUUCCCAAAUUCCCAACCCUAAUUUCGAAUCUCUUCCAUUCUUCCUUCAUCGUUCGUUGAAUCACACCAUGAACCCAUAUUUUUUUAUGCUUGUUUUGUUUCCAUGAUUCCCUCUCCAACUUUCUACCCAUCUUUCUCCGCUUCCCGAUAAUUCUCAGAAAACCCUUUUGAUAUCUUCAAACAAACCAUGACGAAAUUGAAGCCAAAUAAGAAAGAGAAUAAAUCCAAGACUUCUGAGGAACCAACCCCUCGCAAAUCGCAGCAGGAGAGCGGUGGAACGACUUUUUCUGUUCUGAAGAGAACAUGGGCGGUGGUUACUGGUGGCUGGAGUUGUCUUGGUGUCUAGACGGACAUGGCUCCUUUCAUCCAAACCCGAGUGAACUUAGAAGGCUCUGCUCUUUCGAACACGAAGACGUGAACUCCCUCUGCUCUUUAUCUUCAAAUGCUUUGAAAGCACUCUCUAGGAAUAAGGAUAUUGAAAAGUGAACUCCCCAAAACCAUUUAAAUGCUUCGAAAGGUA